UACGAAGGGGGCUAGCGUUGCUCGGAAUUACUGGGCGUAAAGCGCACGUAGGCGGGUUGUUAAGUCGGAGGUGAAAUCCUGGAGCUCAACUCCAGAACUGCCUUCGAAACUGGCGAUCUUGAGUUCGGGAGAGGUGAGUGGAACUGCGAGUGUAGAGGUGAAAUUCGUAGAUAUUCGGAGGAACACCAGUGGCGAAGGCGGCUCACUGGUCCGGUACUGACGCUGAGGUGCGAAAGCGUGGGGAGCAAACAGG
rnacentral:rRNA from 1 species